rnacentral:rRNA from 1 species
CCUACGGGAGGCAGCAGUGAGGAAUAUUGCUCAAUGGACGAGAGUCUGAACCAGCCACGUAGCGUGAAGGAUGACUGCCCCCUGGGUUGUAAACUUCUUUUAUAAAGGAAUAAAACGAGGCACGUGUGCCUUUUUGCAUGUACUUUAUGAAUAAGGAUCGGCUAACUACGUGCAAGCAGCAGCGGUAAUACGGAGGAGCCGAGCGUUAUCCGGAUUUAUUGGGUUUAACGGGAGCGUAGAUGGGUUGUUAAGUCAGUUGUGAAAGUUUGCGGCUCAACCGUAAAAUUGCAAUUGAUACUGGCAGGCUUGAGUACAGGUGAGGUAGGCGGAAUUCGUGGUGUAGCGGUGAAAUGCUUAGAUAUCACGAAGAACCCCGAUUGCGAAGGCAGCUUACUAAACUGUGACUGACAUUGAUGCUCGAAAGUGUGGGUAGCAAACAGGAUUAGAUACCCGAGUAGUC